rnacentral:rRNA from 1 species
GACGAACGCUGGCGGCGUGCUUAACACAUGCAAGUCGAACGGAAAGGCCCUGCUUUUGUGGGGUGAUCGAGUGGCGAACGGGUGAGUAACACGUGAGUAACCUGCCCUUGUCUUUGGGAUAACUUCAGGAAACUGGGGCUAAUACCGGAUAGGAGACCCUGCUGCAUGGUGGGGGUUGGAAAGUUUCGGCGGUUGGGGAUGGAUUCGCGGCUUAUCAGUUUGUUGGUGGGGUAGUGGCUUACCAAGGCUUUGACGGGUAGCCGGCCUGAGUGGGUGACCGGGCACAUUGGUACUGAGAGACGGCCCAGACUCCUACGGGGGACAGCAGUGGGGAAUAUUGCACAAUGGGCGGAAGCCUGAUACAGCAACGCCGCGUGCGUGAUGACGGCCUUCGGGUUGUAAACCGCUUUCGCCUGUGACGAAGCGUGAGUGACGGUAAUGGGUAAAGAAGCACCGGCUAACUACGUG